UGGCGGACGGGUGAGUAACGCGUGGGUAACCUGCCUCAUACAGGGGGAUAACAGUUAGAAAUGACUGCUAAUACCGCAUAAGACCACAGCACCGCAUGGUGCAGGGGUAAAAACUCCGGUGGUGUGAGAUGGAUCCGCGUCUGAUUAGGUAGUUGGUGGGGUAACGGCCCACCAAGCCGACGAUCAGUAGCCGACCUGAGAGGGUGACCGGCCACAUUGGGACUGAGACACGGCCCAA
rnacentral:rRNA from 1 species